rnacentral:piRNA from 1 species
UAUAUUGAAUUCUUGUGACAUGGG